GUGUUCGCUUCGGCAGCACCUAUGCUAAAAUUGGAACGAUACAGAGAAGAUUAGCAUGGCCCCUGUGCAAAAAAACUGUUGUCCUCAUUAAAGUAAGCAAAUCCUA